ACGAACGCUGGCGGCAGGCCUAACACAUGCAAGUCGAACGGUCAGCAAUGGCCGUGGCGCACGGGUGAGUAACGCGUGGGAAUGUGCCUUUUGGUACGGAAUAACGGCGGGAAACUGCCGACAAUACCGUAUACGCCCUCCGGGGGAAAGAUUUAUCGCCAAAAGAUCAGCCCGCGUUAGAUUAGCUAGUUGGUGGGGUAAUGGCCUACCAAGGCUCCGAUCUAUAGCUGUUCUGAGAGGAAGAUCAGCCACACUGGAACUGAGACACGGUCCAGACUCCUACGGGAGGCAGCAGUGGGGAAUCUUGGGCAAUGGGGGAAACCCUGACCCAGCCAUGCCGCGUGAAUGAUGAAGGCCUUAGGGUUGUAAAGUUCUUUUACCCGGGAAGAUGAUGACGGUAUCGGGAGAAUAAGCUCCGGCUAACUUCGUGCCAGCCGCCGCGGUAA
rnacentral:rRNA from 1 species